UACGUAGGGACCAAGCGUUGUUCGGAUUUACUGGGCGUAAAGGGCGCGUAGGCGGCGCGGUAAGUCACUUGUGAAAUCUCUGAGCUUAACUCAGAACGGCCAAGUGAUACUGCAGUGCUAGAGUGUGGAAGGGGCAAUCGGAAUUCUUGGUGUAGCGGUGAAAUGCGUAGAUAUCAAGAGGAAUACCUGAGGUGAAGACGGGUUGCUGGGCCAACACGUGACGCUGAGGCGACGAAAGCCAGGGGAGCAAACGGG
rnacentral:rRNA from 1 species